UCCCUGGUGGCUUAGACGGUAAAGUGUCUGCCUACAAUGUGGGAGACCCAGGUUCGAUCCCUGGGUCUGGAA
rnacentral:tRNA from 1 species